rnacentral:rRNA from 1 species
UACGUAGGGCGCGAGCGUUGUCCGGAAUCAUUGGGCGUAAAGAGCUCGUAGGCGGCCGGUUGCGUCUGCUGUGAAAUCCCGGGGCUUAACCCCGGGCGUGCAGUGGAUACGGGCUGGCUGGAGGCAGGCAGGGGAGAAUGGAAUUCCCGGUGUAGCGGUGAAAUGCGCAGAUAUCGGGAGGAACACCGGUGGCGAAGGCGGUUCUCUGGGCCUGUGCUGACGAUGAGGAGCGAAAGCGUGGGGAGCGAACAGG